rnacentral:rRNA from 1 species
AGUGGCGAACGGGUGAGUAACACGUGGGUAACCUGCCCAUCAGAAGGGGAUAACACUUGGAAACAGGUGCUAAUACCGUAUAACACUAUUUUCCGCAUGGAAGAAAGUUGAAAGGCGCUUUUGCGUCACUGAUGGAUGGACCCGCGGUGCAUUAGCUAGUUGGUGAGGUAACGGCUCACCAAGGCAACGAUGCAUAGCCGACCUGAGAGGGUGAUCGGCCACACUGGGACUGAGACACGGCCCAGACUCCUACGGGAGGCAGCAGUAGGGAAUCUUCGGCAAUGGACGAAAGUCUGACCGAGCAACGCCGCGUGAGUGAAGAAGGUUUUCGGAUCGUAAAACUCUGUUGUUAGAGAAGAACAAGGAUGAGAGUAAAAUGUUCAUCCCUUGACGGUAUCUAACCAGAAAGCCACGGCUAACUACGUGCCAGCAGCCGCGGUAAUACGUAGGUGGCAAGCGUUGUCCGGAUUUAUUGGGCGUAAAGCGAGCGCAGGCGGUUUCUUAAGUCUGAUGUGAAAGCCCCCGGCUCAACCGGGGAGGGUCAUUGGAAACUGGGAGACUUGAGUGCAGAAGAGGAGAGUGGAAUUCCAUGUGUAGCGGUGAAAUGCGUAGAUAUAUGGAGGAACACCAGUGGCGAAGGCGGCUCUCUGGUCUGUAACUGACGCUGAGGCUCGAAAGCGUGGGGAGCGAACAGGAUUAGAUACCCUGGUAGUCCACGCCGUAAACGAUGAGUGCUAAGUGUUGGAGGGUUUCCGCCCUUCAGUGCUGCAGCAAACGCAUUAAGCACUCCGCCUGGGGAGUACGACCGCAAGGUUGAAACUCAAAGGAAUUGACGGGGGCCCGCACAAGCGGUGGAGCAUGUGGUUUAAUUCGAAGCAACGCGAAGAACCUUACCAGGUCUUGACAUCCUUUGACCACUCUAGAGAUAGAGCUUCCCCUUCGGGGGCAAAGUGACAGGUGGUGCAUGGUUGUCGUCAGCUCGUGUCGUGAGAUGUUGGGUUAAGUCCCGCAACGAGCGCAACCCUUAUUGUUAGUUGCCAUCAUUUAGUUGGGCACUCUAGCGAGACUGCCGGUGACAAACCGGAGGAAGGUGGGGAUGACGUCAAAUCAUCAUGCCCCUUAUGACCUGGGCUACACACGUGCUACAAUGGGAAGUACAACGAGUUGCGAAGUCGCGAGGCUAAGCUAAUCUCUUAAAGCUUCUCUCAGUUCGGAUUGUAGGCUGCAACUCGCCUACAUGAAGCCGGAAUCGCUAGUAAUCGCGGAUCA